UACGAAGGGACCUAGCGUAGUUCGGAAUUACUGGGCUUAAAGAGUUCGUAGGUGGUUGAAAAAGUUGGUGGUGAAAUCCCAGAGCUUAACUCUGGAACUGCCAUCAAAACUUUUCAGCUAGAGUAUGAUAGAGGAAAGCAGAAUUUCUAGUGUAGAGGUGAAAUUCGUAGAUAUUAGAAAGAAUACCAAUUGCGAAGGCAGCUUUCUGGAUCAUUACUGACACUGAGGAACGAAAGCAUGGGUAGCGAAGAGGAUUAGAUACCCUCGUAGUCCAUGCCGUAAACAAUGUGUGUUAGACGUUGGAAAUUUAUUUUCAGUGUCGCAGCGAAAGCGAUAAACACACCGCCUGGGGAGUACGACCGCAAGGUUAAAACUCAAAUGAAUUGACGGGGACCCGCACAAGUAGUGGAGCAUGUGGUUUAAUUCGAAGAUACGCGCAGAACCUUACCAACACUUGACAUGUUCGUCGCGACUCUAAGAGAUUAGAGUUUUCGGUUCGGCCGGACGAAACACAGGUGCUGCAUGGCUGUCGUCAGCUCGUGUCGUGAGAUGUUGGGUUAAGUCCCGCAACGAGCGCAGCCCUCACUUUUAGUUGCCAUCAUUAAGUUGGGCACUCUGAAAGAACUGCCAGUGAUAAGCUGGAGGAAGGUGGGGAUGACGUCAAGUCCUCAUGGCCCUUACGUGUUGGGCUACACACGUGCUACAAUGGUAUCUACAACAGGAAGCAAGACUGCGAAGUUAAGCAAAUCCCUAAAAGAUACCUCAGUUCGGAUUGCACUCUGCAACUCGAGUGCAUGAAGCUGGAAUUACUAGUAAUCGUGGAUCAGCGUGCCACGGUGAAUGCGUUCCCGGGUCU
rnacentral:rRNA from 1 species